UUAUCUCUCUCUCUCUCUCUCUCUCUCUCUCUACCCCUCUCAAUCUCUAUCUCUAAUGGAGAUUCUCUAUAAUGGAGGAAUAUAAAGAGCCCCGCCGCAGCAGCCAUCUCUCCCACAUGUUCGAAGAAAGAAGAAGACCUUCCCAUCGCUCCCGCAGAUACGCCCCUCCAGGAAAGCUUCCGACCGGCAGAAAUCAAGACCCGCGUUUCUCCCUCUCUUCUGGUUCGCCAGCGGACGACUCUCUAUCUCUAUAUCUCUCUCUCGCUUCGGCUCCAAUCGGCCUGAGGCCGUCUCUGGGCUCCGUGCUGCCAUCGUUGCGCCGCCGGGAUGUGCGGAGGAGCAAUCCUCUCCGACCUGAUACCCGCCGCCAGGUCGAGGCGGGUCACCGUUGACCACCUCUGGCCACCGCCGGACGGGGACUGGCUCAACGCUUCCGGCCCAAAGAAUAAGAAGAAGAAGAAGAAGAACCACAAGGAGAAAUCCCCCCCCUUCCUGAUCGAGGACGAGGACGACUUCGAGGCCGAUUUCCGGGAGUUCGACGACAGCUCCGAGGAGGAGGGCGAGGAGCUCCUCGAUGUCAAGCCCUUCGCCUUCUCCGCGCUAGCCCCCUUCGCCCGAGGUAAAAACCUGCACAGAAUUAUGCUACAGUUAUAAUAAUAAGCGGCCCUUUUUUCUCUCCUUGGGUCCGACGCUUCCAUUUUUCUGUAGUUUUUUUGGUAACUGUUGCAUCCCCCCCCUUUUUUUGGCGAAGAAUCAUGAUCAACGCGGUGGAUCGUCAGGAUUUUGUUAGGAAUUAUUUAGUUCCUACAGAUUUCACUGAAAUCGCGGGAUGGGGGAUGGAAUCUACUUUGUGUGCUUUCAAUCGGCCUGAUUUUUUUACAUGAACUACCUUCUUUCCCUUGAUUUGGACCCUCCGGUUGGUUCUCGGAGGGCCAUGGCGAAGGAUUUUCGGCUUUUCUCCAUCUUGGGCAUAUCGACCUUUAUGAAUCCGAAUCUUUGGAAUAUUAUCAUCAUACGAUCUUCCAAACUCGAUGGUCCUUUCGAAAGUGAGUUCUGAACUUUCCAAGACGGCUCCCCGAAGGAUGCUCUCUCUUGAGAAGGGCUUUCUCCCAGGUCUGCUCCUCUGUUCUCGGGUUUCGACCAUCUCUGAACGAUAAAAAAAAUGAUUUUCCUCUGUUCUUCAGCCUCGUAUAGCCGAGAUGUCGAAUCCCAGUUCAUCGGCGGUCAGUUUGCUGUUUCCUCAUAUCGAUGUCGAAACAGGGGGCGCGCCCGAGUUCGUCCCGUUGAUCUGAUGGUUUUACGCGUGCCCAAGAUUUUUUCUGUACGAUUUGAUCGUGAUCUUCUGAAGUUGGAAUUUGGCUUCAUCACGAUGGAAGACGAUCCGAGUCAUUUCUACGUUCGGUUUGGUUUUAAUUUUUUUUUAAUCUGCCGUGGCCUCAUAUAAUGGGUUUUAAGCCCAAGGGAUUGAUCUCGAUCUGAUUCAUGGCUGAUGGGUCUUCUUCCGUUGCGUCGUCUUGAACAGCCGAACCCGAGGGGCUCGCCGAGAAAAGCUCCAAGAGGAAGAGGAGGAACCAGUACCGAGGCAUCCGGCAGCGCCCGUGGGGCAAGUGGGCGGCGGAAAUCAGGGACCCGAAGAAGGGCGUCCGCGUCUGGCUCGGCACCUUCAACACCGCCGAGGAAGCUGCUCGGGCCUACGACUGCGAGGCCCGCAGGAUCCGCGGUCAGAAGGCCAAAGUCAACUUCCCCGAGGCGGCGGGCGCCCGGAGGCCCACCCCCAGAGCCGCUGCCGCCGCCGCCCCGAAGGUUCCCAAGCCCCUAAACCACGAGGCGAUGUCCAAUUCCUAUCAAAGUUUCAAUCUUGAGAGCGAUCUCCAUCGUGGGUCCUCCUCCGAGCUCGAGUUCGCCGAGGAGAAGGAAGCGACUGUCAAGCAGGCCCAGUACCCCAAUUCCGAC
rnacentral:lncRNA from 1 species